rnacentral:rRNA from 1 species
GACGAACGCUGGCGGCGUGCUUAACACAUGCAAGUCGAACGGAAAGGCCCUGCUUUUGUGGGGUGCUCGAGUGGCGAACGGGUGAGUAACACGUGAGUAACCUGCCCUUGACUUUGGGAUAACUUCAGGAAACUGGGGCUAAUACCGGAUAGGAGCUCCUGCUGCAUGGUGGGGGUUGGAAAGUUUCGGCGGUUGGGGAUGGACUCGCGGCUUAUCAGCUUGUUGGUGGGGUAGUGGCUUACCAGGGCUUUGCCGGGUAGCCGGCCUGAGAGGGUGACCGGCUAAAUGGGAUUUGAAUUACGGCCAAUAUCCUACCGGGGGCGCGAGGGGGGGAGUUUUGAAAAAGGGGCGAAGGACGUAGCCACAACCGCGUCGUGGGGGAGUCGGCCCUUCGGUUUGAAACCCGCUUUCGCGUGGCAAGAGGCAUAGCUGACGGUAUGGGGAAAGAAGUAACCGCCUACCAACGU